rnacentral:tRNA from 1 species
GGGGACAUAGCUCAGUUGGUAGAGUGCUUGCCUUGCAUGCAAGGUCCUGGGUUCAGUUCCCAGCACCA